AGACACAGUUGGAAGUGGUGCUUGGCCACAUAGGGGCGGAGCCAUGAUCCGGUUUGAAUCGGCUCGAGCUUGUGCUUAGGCCAAUCAGAGACCUCGGAGGACCCCGCCCAUCUUCAGGACGCCUAGGUGCUCCUGGUUACCAGCAAGCCUCGUUGUUAGGGCGACCGGGGUACUAAAAAUAAGCUUCAAAGCGCCUCCCUCCUGGGGCCCCCACUGAGUUGUUAUGACAACCGGGCACAAGGUCCCCACCGCGCUGCUCUCACCCGGGGCAGCAGGCUUAAAAGAAGUAUGGGAGGGAUGACCCUCGCUUCAGCCACAGCCCUGCAGCUGGCAAUACAUUUCCGGACUGGAUUGCCUCUCAUCGCAUCAGACUGCCUUCCAGUGAGAAGGCCCACGUUUCCCUCUCAUGAGUGGCUCAGAAUGAACACCCAAGCCCCGCUAAGUACCAGAGCUCAUUGCCAAAGAAAUACAGAAAAGCCGAAGAAAUGUUACCUCAAUCUCAGGGCUCUGACACACCUGUCGCUCGGUGUAGGCAGGUGCGUAGGAGUCCUGCGCGCACAAGUCUGGGGAAUUUGCUAAAGGAUGACUAGCAAUGCUAAACAGGGCAAUGUGAGAUGCUAACCGGGACAGCAGGCUCUAAACUGAGCCACCGGUGCCUUUGGUGAAGAACACUGAUCUCCUGGCUGUGUCCCCUGUCACCAGAGCAGGACGUUCAGGUUUAGAGAGAGCAAGCCACGAACUCAAAAUCAAACAGCAGACACCCAGCUCCAACAGAGGAUCCUCUGAGCCUACUCAUCUGCAAGCCCCUUUGAGGUUAUCGUGGGUCACAUACUGUCCGAACAUCUCUGUAAAAGCUGGUUCUGCUCCACACUCCCAUAUUGUAUUAAGUCGUCAGUAGUUUCCUGUUUGGAAUCUGUCUUGGACCAUCAUCCCUGGCUCCCUCUAGCACCUGCCUUUUGCCUCCGGUCUUGGAGCUAGCGUUCUUGGAAACACCCAGAGCACAGGCCCCGGGGGUUACACUUUGUGCCUGCCCUCCCAGUCAGGACUGUAGCCCUAGCCUGGUUCUCUACAACUGGCAACCCACCAGGGCGUCUCAGCUUCCCCGGAAGCUCUAAAGUGGAUAAAGCUGGGAGAAAGCCAUAAUCAAUGAAGCAGAGCAGACCAUCAAAAAGAAGAGAGUGAAAGAGGUGAAGAAAGACUGGAGCUGAGGAAAAACAAGAGCCAUCAGUGGAGACGGAACAUUCAUUAUGAAGAAAGGCAUCCACGGUCCCCCGGGUGCAGGCACCAUUCUGGAACUGAUUAAACAAGAGGCAGCCGGGGUGUACCCGCACCCCGCCCCCCCAGAGCAGCAAAAGCUUUGCAAAGAGAAGCCGGAGCAGAAGGUUCUGCAAUCACACUCAAUCAGGCCGACGGGGCCAGCUGCAAUACCGCCAGGAUGACAGAGCUUAAAUGAGAAAACGCGGCAAGAGAUAAGGAGUCCUAGGACUCCGAGUGCGGCCAGGCUGUUAUUACAUCCUUUGGGGCUGGAGCGGAGGCUGUUGUGAGACUCCCUAACCUUGGGGACAGGGACCCAGCUGUCAUAUAAAGCAGGCCAGCUGAGUAU